rnacentral:rRNA from 1 species
ACUAGCAGUAAGAGUUUGAUCAUGGCUCAGAACGAACGCUGGCGGCAUGCCUAACACAUGCAAGUCGAACGAGACCUUCGGGUCUAGUGGCGCACGGGUGCGUAACGCGUGGGAAUCUGCCCAAAGGUUCGGAAUAACUCGGGGAAACCCGAGCUAAUACCGGAUAAUGUCUUCGGACCAAAGAUUUAUUGCCUUUGGAUGAGCCCGCGUCGGAUUAGCUAGUUGGUGAGGUAAAAGCUCACCAAGGCGACGAUCCGUAGCUGGUCUGAGAGGAUGAUCAGCCACACUGGGACUGAGACACGGCCCAGACUCCUACGGGAGGCAGCAGUGGGGAAUAUUGGACAAUGGGCGAAAGCCUGAUCCAGCAAUGCCGCGUGAGUGAUGAAGGCCUUAGGGUUGUAAAGCUCUUUUACCCGGGAUGAUAAUGACAGUACCGGGAGAAUAAGCUCCGGCUAACUCCGUGCCAGCCGCCGCGGUAAUAC